UUUUUUUUUUUACUUUUAAAUUUGGGGUUUCUACGAUCUUUCAGAACAGGGUGGGUGGUACUGGAAUGGACAUGAGAAGCACAGCCAAGGUAAUCUUUUUAUUUUAUUUAUACGUUGAUGAAAAAGUUAGCAAAUUUCCUGUAAAAUAGAAUCAGAAUGACAAAGCUUACUGAUCUCUGUUUGGUUUACCUUUACACUCUCCCUGGACCUGCAACCCAACCAUCAAAAUUCCCCAAAAGGAACUAUGAUUGUUCCAACACUCGUGAAGCUCCUGGGAAAAACAGUGAAGUGAUCUUAUAGGACCAUACCAUUGUAGUGUUGGAGCUGACAAGUCUUUUGGAAGGGAAGGGACAUCGUUGAUUCUCACUACAAGGAAUGUUUGUAUGCCGGAAUUACAACCAGUACGGAUCAAUGGAGAAGUCAUGCCUGGUCAGCGGAUCUAAUAAGGGACGCUGAAUGAUUUUUCUAGAUUACACCCAGUUCCUUAACACCGCUUAAGUAUCCGUACCAGAUGUAUGUUGCGUCAUUUAUCCCUACUACCAGAUAAAUGUAGCGUCAUUUAGAGAAGAGAUUUUUUUGGGAUUGAAUAAAUGUUCUGUCUCGAUCAACCUGCAAUGUAGCUACUCUGAUGGGUGAAUAUACUCAUAUACCCUAGAAUUCAGCUGCAUAACAUCUUCACCUAGGAACGAGAGAUUGUGAUUCUCAAGCUAUGGUUAAGCCAUCUCUCUCGAUUCCAAGCUAUAAUUUAUUAAUCUUUGAUAUGUAAUGCUGCAAUGUCAUAUAUAACUUGAUGUCUGAGUCACAAAGGGUGAGUUUUGGCUUUGC